GCUCUGGUUGCUCUGUGCAGUGGUAUAGGGAGGAAGAACUUGAGAACCGCGACUGGCUGCUUCAUGGAUCUCGGAACUCACGCAGUUUCUGUACUGUGGAGAAGAAGUUUUUCACAGUCUGAACAGGUAACCAGCAAUGAGGACCUGCCAAUCCCAAUGGAAAAGCCCUAUAAGGAGCCUCUUAAGAAGUGUGUCUUGUGCGAGAAACAUGUAGAUUACAAGAAUGUGCAGCUUUUGUCCCAGUUUAUUUCUCCAUUUACCGGAUGCAUUUACAGAAGGCACAUAACAGGACUUUGUGGAAAGAAACAGAGGGAAAUAACUAAAGCCACUAAGAGAACUCAGAAAAUGGGGUUUAUGCCAGUUACAUACAAGGAUCCUGCAUAUCUCAAAGACCCUAGAGUUUGUAACAUCAGAUACCGAGAAUAA
rnacentral:lncRNA from 1 species